rnacentral:rRNA from 1 species
UAAGGAAUAUUGGGCAAUGGACGCAAGUCUGACCCAGCCAUGCCGCGUGAAGGAUGACGGCCCUAUGGGUUGUAAACUUCUUUUGUACGGGAAAAAACCUUCGAACGUGUUCGAAGCUGAUGGUACCGUAAGAAUAAGCAUCGGCUAACUCCGUGCCAGCAGCCGCGGUAAUACGGAGGAUGCAAGCGUUAUCCGGAUUCAUUGGGUUUAAAGGGUGCGUAGGCGGGAUGAUAAGUCAGUGGUGAAAUCCUACAGCUUAACUGUAGAACUGCCAUUGAUACUGUCAACCUUGAGUACAAUUGAAGUGGGCGGAAUGUGUCAUGUAGCGGUGAAAUGCUUAGAUAUGACACAGAACACCGAUAGCGAAGGCAGCUCACUAAACUGUAACUGACGCUGAGGCACGAAAGCGUGGGGAUCAAACAGG